CGUUUGUAGGCGGCCCUGUAAGUCGGGUGUGAAAUCCCACGGCUCAACCGUGGAAGUGCAUUCGAAACUGCAGGGCUUGAAUAUGGAAGAGGGCAGUAGAAUUCCUGGUGUAGUGGUGAAAUACGUAGAUAUCAGGAGGAAUACCGGUGGCGAAGGCGGCUGCCUGGUCCAAUAUUGACGCUGAGAAACGAAAGCGUGGGGAUCAAACAGGAUUAGAUACCCUGGUAGUCCACGCCGUAAACGAUGGUCACUUGGUGUUGGAGGUAUUGACCCCUUCAGUGCCGAAGCUAACGCGUUAAGUGUCCCGCCUGGGAAGUACGGUCGCAAGAUUAAAACUCAAAGAAAUUGACGGGGGCCCGCACAAGCGGUGGAGCAUGUGGUUCAAUUCGAUGCAACGCGAAAAACCUUACCUGGGUUUGAAGUGCUGGUGAAUAAGGUAGAGAUAUCUUAGUCCUUCGGGACGCCAGUAUCAGGUGCUGCAUGGCUGUCGUCAGCUCGUGUCGUGAGAUGUCGGGUUAAGUCCCAUAACGAGCGCAACCCCUAUGUUUAGUUGCCAGCAUUAAGUUGGGCACUCUAAACAGACUGCCGGCGUUAAGCCGGAGGAAGGCGGGGAUGACGU
rnacentral:rRNA from 1 species